AACAGUUGGAAACGACUGCUAAACCCGGAUGAGCCGAAAGGUAAAAGAUUUAUCGCCUAGAGAGGGGCUUGCGUCUGAUUAGCUAGUUGGUAAGGUAAAGGCUUACCAAGGCGACGAUCAGUAGCUGGUCUGAGAGGAUGAUCAGCCACACUGGGACUGAGACACGGCCCAGACUCCUACGGGAGGCAGCAGUGGGGAAUUUUCCGCAAUGGGCGAAAGCCUGACGGAGCAAGACCGCGUGGGGGAGGAAGGUUCUUGGAUUGUCAACCCCUUUUCUCAGGGAAGAACAAAAUGACGGUACCUGAGGAAAAAGCAUCGGCUAACUCCGUGCCAGCAGCCGCGGUAAUACGGGGGAUGCAAGCGUUAUCCGGAAUGAUUGGGCGUAAAGAGUCCGUAGGUAGCCAAUCAAGUCUGCUGUUAAAGAGCGAGGCUUAACUUCGUAAAGGCAGUGGAAACUGGAAGGCUAGAGUGUAGUAGGGGCAGAGGGAAUUCCUGGUGUAGCGGUGAAAUGCGUAGAGAUCAGGAAGAACACCGGUGGCGAAGGCGCUCUGCUGGGCUAUAACUGACACUGAGGACGA
rnacentral:rRNA from 1 species